UACGGGCCGGCUNGAGUGCGGUAGGGGAGACUGGAACUCCUGGUGUAGCGGUGGAAUGCGCAGAUAUCAGGAAGAACACCGGUGGCGAAGGCGGGUCUCUGGGCCGUUACUGACGCUGAGGAGCGAAAGCGUGGGGAGCGAACAGGAUUAGAUACCCUGGUAGUCCACGCCGUAAACGUUGGGCACUAGGUGUGGGGGGCCUUUUCCGGGUCUUCCGCGCCGUAGCUAACGCAUUAAGUGCCCCGCCUGGGGAGUACGGCCGCAAGGCUAAAACUCAAAGGAAUUGACGGGGGCCCGCACAAGCGGCGGAGCAUGCGGAUUAAUUCGAUGCAACGCGAAGAACCUUACCAAGGCUUGACAUGUGCCGGUCGGCUCCGGAGACGGGGUUUCCUCCUUGUGGGGCCGGUUCACAGGUGGUGCAUGGUUGUCGUCAGCUCGUGUCGUGAGAUGUUGGGUUAAGUCCCGCAACGAGCGCAACCCUUGUCCCGUGUUGCCAGCACGUUGUGGUGGGGACUCGCGGGAGACUGCCGGGGUCAACUCGGAGGAAGGUGGGGAUGACGUCAAAUCAUCAUGCCCCUUAUGUCUUGGGCUUCACGCAUGCUACAAUGGCCGGUACAGAGGGCUGCGAUACCGUGAGGUGGAGCGAAUCCCUUAAAGCCGGUCUCAGUUCGGAUCGGUGUCUGCAACUCGACACCGUGAAGUUGGAGUCGCUAGUAAUCGCAGAUCAGCAACGCUGCGGUGAAUACGUUCUCGGGCCUUGUACACACCGCCCGUCACGUCAUGAAAGUCGGCAACACCCGAAGCCCGUGGCCCUACGG
rnacentral:rRNA from 1 species